rnacentral:tRNA from 8 species
AAAGAAUUAGUUAAAUUAACAUUAGUAUGUCAAGCUAAAAUUAUUAGUAAAAUCUAAUAUUCUUUA